rnacentral:rRNA from 1 species
UGAGGGAUAUUGGGCAAUGGGGGAAACCCUGACCCAGCGACGCCGCGUGAGGGAAGACGGUCUUCGGAUUGUAAACCUCUGUCUUUGGGGACGAAAAAGGACGGUACCCAAGGAGGAAGCUCCGGCUAACUACGUGCCAGCAGCCGCGGUAAUACGUAGGGAGCGAGCGUUGUCCGGAAUUACUGGGUGUAAAGGGAGCGUAGGCGGGAUUGCAAGUUGGAUGUGAAAAACUGCGGGCUCAACCCGGAGAGUGCAUUCAAAACUGCGAUUCUUGAGUGAAGUAGAGGCAAGCAGAAUUCCUAGUGUAGCGGUGAAAUGCGUAGAUAUUAGGAGGAACACCAGUGGCGAAGGCGGCUUGCUGGGCUUUUACUGACGCUGAGGCUCGAAAGUGUGGGGAGCAAACAGGAUUAGAUACCC